ensembl:lncRNA
CUGACCCUUGCCCUCGUGAUGAUAAUAUAGCUGCUGGAGCCCAGCAACUACAUCCUCUCAGGGGUAAGAACAUCAGAGGAGAGAGAGCUUCAACCAGUUCGAACAAAAACCCGGGACCUAAUCUUCAACUACCCAAGUUAGGUCAAGUGGCCAUCCCUGACACAAUUACACUGGCCAGGAGAAGGCAAGACAGAGCCUGGUAUAAAGCUAGGUCCCAUAAUGACCUCUGUGGGAGAAGAAUCUAAAAACAAUGACAUGAGGGUCUAUGUGCCCAAAGAAUCAACAACAACAAAAAGUUCCUGAAACUAAUAAGGCUGAAAGACAGAAGCACAUAGCCACAUAUCAUAUCAGACUGUCAGCAAACCAUGGACUCCAGGCAAAGACAGCCCAGCAC